rnacentral:rRNA from 1 species
CGCGCAGGCGGAAUGAAAAGUCAGUGGUGAAAUCCUACAGCUUAACUGUAGAACUGCCUUUGAUACUUUCAUUCUUGAGUUCGGGAGAGAGAGACGGAAUUCCAGGUGUAGUGGUGAAAUACGUAGAUAUCUGGAAGAACACCAGUUGCGAAGGCGGUCUCUUGGUCCGACACUGACGCUGAGGCGCGAAAGCGGUGGGGAGCAAACA